CCCUGUUUUGGGGGGAACAUCAUCAUUUUCAGAGAUGAAAAAGUUCCUUUUUGUGUCUGUCGUCAAUCUCUUUUAUCCCAGGCUCACUGCCUCUGGCCUGGUUUCUAGGAGACGGGCAAACCCCUCCUGGAGGCCUCCUCGUAAAACCCCCCAUGCGGACAAGAAGGAGGCUUCACCAUCGCUGCGAGAAAUGGAGCCGUGCACCUACUACCGCAAAAGACGCAAAUUAUUGUGAUGAUUCAUUCAUUCCUCCCCGCAUUCAUUCACUCUGGGGGCACGUGACUGUGUCUUCCACGGAUGCACGUGGGCAAGCUCACCUACCACCUUCUAUCGCUGGGAGUCGAUGCAAGGAUCACAGCGGAGGUAACAUACGUGCACGUGCUUGGGUGCUACUGCUAGUAGCUAAUCCUCAGUGAGCACUCCCCGUGUGUCAAGCGGCACGAUAAGCUUUUUACCUGCUUUAUGUUUUGCAUUUAAUCCGAAUGCUACUCUCCGGGGUGGGGCUGAUUAUUGUCUUCAUUCUGGAGAUGUAGAGAUGGAAGCUUGGAGGGGUCAAGGUGACCCGGCCACAGUCAUUACACAGCUCGUAAGUGGUGGAGGCAAGUCAAGGCCAGCUUCCUCUGAUCAUGACCCACCUUUAUAAGACGCUGACCAUGUGGCCCGCACUGGCCUCAGCACUUGCUUGCCCUCACCCAUUCUAUUUAUUCUUCACAUGAACUAGUGAUGCAGGGAUGGUGAUUAGCAUCUCUGUGUUCCAGCUGAGCACACUGAGGUUUGGACGACUUACCCGAGGAUAAGCAUGUCGUAGCAUGGCUAUGACACAGAAGAGCUGAGCAGAGGGAAGGCAGGCUGGGCUCUGCAAGACGCUCUGUCUUCUUUGUGAUCAGUCAGUUAGGUGUGAGUGCUGCAUUCUUGUUAGCCGCACAUGCUGUCAGCCCCUCGGACCCUCACAGGGUUCUUGGUGCGGAGAUGCCGUGACAGAGACCAUGCCGUGCACUCACCAGACCCCAAGACUCCAUUCUCUGAGGCACACGGGUGGAUCCUGGCAGUUAGAUGGCUUCAUGUGAUUGAAUUCUGACCAGUAAAGGUCACCUCCAGGCCUGGCCCUUUCAAAAGCCCAUGAUUCUCUAUCUACUGGCCAGACACAGAGGAUCCCAUGGUAGAUGCUGAGACCCUGGAAGAGGGAUGGUAGAAACCAUGGAAUGGAAGAUGCCUGGGUCCCUGAGUGACUGCGUGGAGCUGAGCUCUGCCCAACCUCCCAGUUUGGAUGUACUGGACUGUGCUGAGGACCUCCACCUUUACUGGGGUACCUUUACAGCAGUUAGCCUGCCCUCACUCAUCAUAUGGAUGUUUCUGGAAGUGUUUUAAUGAAAUCGUGGUCUAAGAUUUCCUUGGGAAAGGCCUCACCUCCACCAGAACUCAAGCUUCAUGAAGGUGAAGUCUCCUGUGUUAAGUGCAGAGCCUCAAACACAGUAGGUCUUCUGUAAAUAUUUGUGGAAGUGACUAACUGACCCUUCCGUCUCAGAGGUCCUUGGCCCACAGGGAAAUUUCCUGGAUGAUAACUUGGGAAGAAAGUGUUACUUGUGCCACUUAAACUCCAUCCUCUUCCAAUACACCAUACCCUCAUCGUCCUCUCUGCCAUGGCCUCAGGAUGGCAUUGGGGAGACAAUCCCAGCAAUAACAUCUAGAACCUUCUCUUCAAGCCAGACAUCAGACAUCACUAUACAAAUACCAACCUGACUUCAUUCCUUCCCAACUGGCUGAAAAAUCCAGGAAAAGCCAAUUGGCGUGGGCUCCAAGCUGCACACGCUAUAUUCAGAUGUUUACCGAAAGCCAGUGCACAAGGAUUUGCUCGAAAGCUAAAUUUCCUCUUAGCCAAAGCCCAGAAAUACCUUUUAAACCUUGAGCAAAUAAGCCAGAGAAGAAGGCAUUUUCCCUAUGACGGAGACUUUAGAGCCUGGAGAUAUUCAACUUUUCAAGGAAACAAGCUGUCUGCUGAAGCCCCUCACUGCCUGCAACCAAAAGGCUUCUUGAACUUGCCCUUCAGUCCCAGCGCAAAUGGGACAAACUGCCACACGCCCCAGACCUGACUUCAGACUGGACAUGGAAGUAAUCCUCAAAUGCACAUCUAGGUCCACUUGGAGGGAGAGCAUUGGCUCCAAAUAAAAUUUAAAAGAGCCAAGUUUUUAAAAACUAA
rnacentral:lncRNA from 12 species